ACGCACGCUGGCGGCGUGCUUCACACAUGCAAGUCGCACGGAAAGGCCCUGCUUUUGUGGGGUGCUCGAGUGGCGAACGGGUGAGUAACACGUGAGUAACCUGCCCUUGACUUUGGGAUAACUUCAGGAAACUGGGGCUAAUACCGGAUAGGAGCUCCUGCUGCAUGGUGGGGGUUGGAAAGUUUCGGCGGUUGGGGAUGGACUCGCGGCUUAUCAGCUUGUUGGUGGGGUAGUGGCUUACCAAGGCUUUGACGGGUAGCCGGCCUGAGAGGGUGACCGGCCACAUUGGGACUGAGAUACGGCCCAGACUCCUACGGGAGGCAGCAGUGGGGAAUAUUGCACAAUGGGCGGAAGCCUGAUGCAGCAACGCCGCGUGCGGGAUGACGGCCUUCGGGUUGUAAACCGCUUUCGCCUGUGACGAAGCGUGAGUGACGGUAAUGGGUAAAGAAGCACCGGCUAACUACGUGC
rnacentral:rRNA from 1 species